GAUGAACGCUGGCGGCGUGCCUAAUACAUGCAAGUCGAGCGAACGGACGAGAAGCUUGCUUUUCUGAUGUUAGCGGCGGACGGGUGAGUAACACGUGGAUAACCUACCUAUAAGACUGGGAUAACUUCGGGAAACCGGAGCUAAUACCGGAUAAUAUUUUGAACCGCAUGGUUCAAAAGUGAAAGACGGUCUUGCUGUCACUUAUAGAUGGAUCCGCGCUGCAUUAGCUAGUUGGUAAGGUAACGGCUUACCAAGGCAACGAUGCAUAGCCGACCUGAGAGGGUGAUCGGCCACACUGGAACUGAGACACGGUCCAGACUCCUACGGGAGGCAGCAGUAGGGAAUCUUCCGCAAUGGGCGAAAGCCUGACGGAGCAACGCCGCGUGAGUGAUGAAGGUCUUCGGAUCGUAAAACUCUGUUAUUAGGGAAGAACAUAUGUGUAAGUAACUGUGCACAUCUUGACGGUACCUAAUCAGAAAGCCACGGCUAACUACGUGCCAGCAGCCGCGGUAAUACGUAGGUGGCAAGCGUUAUCCGGAAUUAUUGGGCGUAAAGCGCGCGUAGGGCGGUUUUUUAGUCUGAUGUGAAAGCCCACGGCUCAACCGUGGAGGGUCAUUGGAAACUGGAAAACUUGAGUGCAGAAGAGGAAAGUGGAAUUCCAUGUGUAGCGGUGAAAUGCGCAGAGAUAUGGAGGAACACCAGUGGCGAAGGCGACUUUCUGGUCUGUAACUGACGCUGAUGUGCGAAAGCGUGGGGAUCAAACAGGAUUAGAUACCCUGGUAGUCCACGCCGUAAACGAUGAGUGCUAAGUGUUAGGGGGUUUCCGCCCCUUAGUGCUGCAGCUAACGCAUUAAGCACUCCGCCUGGGGAGUACGACCGCAAGGUUGAAACUCAAAGGAAUUGACGGGGACCCGCACAAGCGGUGGAGCAUGUGGUUUAAUUCGAAGCAACGCGAAGAACCUUACCAAAUCUUGACAUCCUUUGACAACUCUAGAGAUAGAGCCUUCCCCUUCGGGGGACAAAGUGACAGGUGGUGCAUGGUUGUCGUCAGCUCGUGUCGUGAGAUGUUGGGUUAAGUCCCGCAACGAGCGCAACCCUUAAGCUUAGUUGCCAUCAUUAAGUUGGGCACUCUAAGUUGACUGCCGGUGACAAACCGGAGGAAGGUGGGGAUGACGUCAAAUCAUCAUGCCCCUUAUGAUUUGGGCUACACACGUGCUACAAUGGACAACACAAAGGGCAGCGAAACCGCGAGGUCAAGCAAAUCCCAUAAAGUUGUUCUCAGUUCGGAUUGUAGUCUGCAACUCGACUACAUGAAGCUGGAAUCGCUAGUAAUCGUAGAUCAGCAUGCUACGGUGAAUACGUUCCCGGGUCU
rnacentral:rRNA from 1 species